rnacentral:lncRNA from 1 species
UCACUAUCACAAUUGUCAUUAUUCUUAUUUUUAUAUUAUCCUAUUUAUCAUUCUGUUUUUCUUGGGAACUACAACUACAUUUUUAAAAAAUUAUCCUUUAAGUUCUGGGAUACAUGUGCAGAAUGUGCAGGUUUAUUACAUAGGUAUACAUGUGCCAUGGUGGUUUGCUGCACUCAUCAACCCGUCAUCUACAUUAGGUAUUUCUCCUAAUGCUAUCCCUCCCCUAGCUCCCCACCCCCCAACAGGCCCCAGUGUGUGAUGUUCCUCUCCCUGUGUCCAUGUGUUCUCAUCAUUCAGCUCCCACUUAUGGGUGAAAACAUGCGGUGUUUGGUUUUUCUGUUCCUGUGUUAGUUUGCUGAGAAUGAUGGUUUCCAGCUUCACCCAUGUCCCUGCAAAGGACAUGAACUCAUCCUUUUUUUGUGGCUGCAUAGUAUUCCAUGGUGUAUAUGUGCCACAUUUUCUUUAUCCAGUCUAUCAUUGAUGGGCAUUUGGGUUGGUUCCAAGUCUUUGUUGUUAUGAAUAGUGCUGCAAUAAACAUACGUGUGCAUGUGUCUUUAUAGUAGCAUGAUUUAUAAUCCUUUGGUUAUAUACCCAGUAAUGGGAUUGCUGGGUCAAAUGGUAUACAAUACAUUUUUAAAGGAUACAUUUAAUUUUAAAAAACAUGCUGUUGUUUGCACGUAUUUACAGAAUAGGCACUGAUAGGAAAUUAUGACAAUGCAUUUAUUUUUAAAAAGGCAUUGUAUGCAAGAUGUGACCUGAUAUAAAGUCCUGAGAACAUAGAAAAUGUCCGUAUCUGGUGAUGUGCAACUCCAUGGUUAAGAAAACAUGUUUCUGGGCUCUCCCACAGGAACCACAAGCUCAGUACAGAGACAGAUCUUCUGGUCCCUGGCACUGACUCUUCUUUCUCCUUCUUUCAGAGGACCAGAACAGGAUGGGAUCUUUCAUUCUUCAGAGCUUCUAAACUUAGUUCUGCUCAGGCAUCUCCCAGUGGCUCCCACCAGCUCUCUCAUUUGUAACUGCAGAGACAUUGAAGAGUAUUUUCAUCUCAGAAGAGAAAUCAAUAAUACUUUCAAUUCUUGCCGGGUGCGGUGGUGCACGCCUGUAAUCCCAGCACUUUGGGAGGCCAAGGUGAGUUGAUCACCUGAGUUCAGGAGUUUGAGACCAGCCUGGCCAACAUGGUGAAACCCUGUCUCUACUAAAAAUACAAAAAUUAGCUGAGCAUGGUGAUGUGCACCUGUAAUACCAGCUAUUUGGGGGGCUGAGGCAUGAGAAUCGCUUGAACCCAGGAGGCAGAGGCUGCAGUGAGCUAAGAUCAUGCCACUCUACUCUAGCCUGGGUGACAGAGCGAGACUCUGUCUAAAAAAAAUACUUUCAAUUCUUUUUGUAGAUAAUUGUAUACUAUAGAGAAUGGAGAUAUAAUUUUUUAAAAGUAAGUUUUCAUGAAAAUGCUCUUUUUAGCCCUUUCAUAUAUAGUUGUUUGUCCUCUUGUAAAAUAAAACUUCAUUCUAACUAUAGGGCUGGGUAUGAAAGGUGUCAAGAAUGUUGCUGUCAAUCCGUUUCAUACCCACAAGCAGGACAACAAUAUAAAUUUUGUGAGCCCUUGAAACUUUUGCCCUUGUAAGUUCUUUCCUCCAUAAAUAGUAUUAAAAGUUGUAUUUUAUGAGUGUAUUGGCAUAAAGAGAAAUAUAAUCCAGUUGUACUUAGAUUAUAUUCAUUUUCUUCUUCUUCUUUUAAAGAAAUUAAGCAUUUCAAGGGCUCCUAAAAGUAUCAUGGGCUGUUGGCACUGCUACUGGGCCUUAAUGAAUAUGUCAGCGCAGCCUACUAUAUGUCCUCCUAAUAAAAAUUGAUGGAGACAGGAUAAGAUAAUUGACUGUCCCAAGUUUAAUCGAUCAAGAAAUAGAAUAACUCUCUAUAAAAUAUCACCAGAUAUUGUUGCCUAAAUGUUUGUGUCAUAAGAUUUAU